rnacentral:pre_miRNA from 8 species
GCCCCCUGGAAAUGAAUUUUACAUCGGCCAUUAUAAUACAACCUGAUAAGUGUUACAGCACUUAUCAGGUUGUAUUGUAAUUGUCUGUGUAUAUGCCUGUCUCCCUUCCUUU